UGGCGGCGUGCUUAACACAUGCAAGUCGAACGGAAAGGCCUGCAGCUUGCUGCGGGUACUCGAGUGGCGAACGGGUGAGUAACACGUGGGUGAUCUGCCUUGCACUUCGGGAUAAGCUUGGGAAACUGGGUCUAAUACCGGAUAGGACAGCUGUUUAGUGUCAGUUGUGGAAAGUUUUUUCGGUGCAAGAUGAGCUCGCGGCCUAUCAGCUUGUUGGUGGGGUAAUGGCCUACCAAGGCGUCGACGGGUAGCCGGCCUGAGAGGGUGUACGGCCACAUUGGGACUGAGAUACGGCCCAGACUCCUACGGGAGGCAGCAGUGGGGAAUAUUGCACAAUGGGCGGAAGCCUGAUGCAGCGACGCCGCGUGGGGGAUGAAGGCCUUCGGGUUGUAAACUCCUUUCGACAGGGACGAAGCGUAAGUGACGGUACCUGUAUAAGAAGCACCGGCUAACUACGUGCCAGCAGCCGCGGUAAUACGUAGGGUGCGAGCGUUGUCCGGAAUUACUGGGCGUAAAGAGCUCGUAGGUGGUUUGUCGCGUCGUCUGUGAAAUUCCGGGGCUUAACUCCGGGCGUGCAGGCGAUACGGGCUGACUUGAGUGCUGUAGGGGAGACUGGAAUUCCUGGUGUAGCGGUGAAAUGCGCAGAUAUCAGGAGGAACACCGAUGGCGAAGGCAGGUCUCUGGGCAGUAACUGACGCUGAGGAGCGAAAGCAUGGGUAGCGAACAGGAUUAGAUACCCUGGUAGUCCAUGCCGUAAACGGUGGGCGCUAGGUGUAGGGGGCUUCCACGUCUUCUGUGCCGUAGCUAACGCAUUAAGCGCCCCGCCUGGGGAGUACGGCCGCAAGGCUAAAACUCAAAGGAAUUGACGGGGGCCCGCACAAGCGGCGGAGCAUGUGGAUUAAUUCGAUGCAACGCGAAGAACCUUACCUGGGCUUGACAUAUACAAGACAGGCGUAGAGAUACGUCCUCCCUUGUGGUUUGUAUACAGGUGGUGCAUGGUUGUCGUCAGCUCGUGUCGUGAGAUGUUGGGUUAAGUCCCGCAACG
rnacentral:rRNA from 1 species